UUCAUUAGGAAUUUUACCAUUAGCUAGAUGUUAUACAAUUUUUUCCUAUUCUCUGAUGCCGAAUAUUCUUUUCAAAUCCUUGGUUUCCUUUUCUGCUUAUCCCAAAGGAAUAGCAGGAAGAUAUUUUUUCCUCUGAAAAUUUCUCUCAACUGGCACUUUACAAUUUAACGUAAUUUAAAAAAUUCAUUUGUAUACAGGUGCAGUUUUAUUUGUUUGUUUUCAACCUAUUUCUUAGUCUGUAAAUAUCAGCAUAAUGGACUGGGAGUUCCAGCAACUUCUAGCUAAAUUUAUCCACAGCAAAUGGAAAGCUAUUCUUGUCUGCGUUCAAUGAUUGCUUUCAUUCGUGAAGGCCCUUAUGAUGUUUCCUAAGAAAGGAAAAUGAUUGUUUCUGUUAGACGGAGGCUUGAUUAUAUGUGAAAACUGCGCGUGCUUUGGAGGAUAUCUUUAGAUUCUGAGGAACCACUGCAGAAACAGAAUACGGGGGCCGAUGACUUCAAAUUCCUCACGGUCUGAGGAUCAUUGAAAAGGUGCUGCCUGUGGACCCAUAUCUGAGUUUGGCAUAUUUGUAAGAACUGACACUACUUCUCAGAGAGGGAACAAAUCUGUGCUGGGAGCAAAUGAAAGCUAAGCCGAUCUGUUUUUGAGGGAAUCCUAGACCGGACUGAGACAGCACAUACCCUUCAGGAUGGGAGUCUGGAGUUGAAUUCUCUAUCUGUUUGAAAGCAAUAGUGACCAUGUAGCUCAUGAUUAGCCCUGAGCUGACUGCUGCCAAACCUCCUCGUUUUGCUGAGGAAGACCAGCCCUGAGCUGACAUCUGUGCCCAUCUUCCUCUGCUUUCUAUGUGGGACACCUACCACAGCAUGGCUGGCCAAGCGGUGCCAUGUCCACAUCUGGGAUCCGAACCGGUGAACCCUGGGCCACAGAAGCAGAACGUGUGCACUUAACUGCUGCGCCACCAGGCUGGCCCCUAAAAGCCAAUAUCUUGAGUUUAUUUCCAUACUACAUUCAGAUGAGAUAAGGAAAUUAAAGUGCUGAGCCUUAAGUAACUUUCUCAUGGUCACAUGGGUGGUAAGGGCAAAUCAAAAUUUGAAACCAGGAUUGAGGAGUAACCACCAAGAUGGCGACAUUCGUUGUUCCUGACUUUGCUCCCUCUCACAAGAGUAACUAACAACUAUGGAAAAACAAGACACCAGUGAGAGAAUCCCAGAACAUGGGUGUAAGACUGAAGCAACCCCCCUGCUCCACAGAGACCAAGACAGACUGCAUUAGAAGGGUGAGAGAGGCGGCUACAUGUUGACUGCAUUGCUCCUUCCCCAGGCCAGUGCAGCACCGCAUGGAGAGGUCUCCCCUGAGCCUCUGGCUCCUCCAGUGGGAAAACAGAACCCAGGGGGGACAAAUAGCCCAUCCACCCCCAGCAUUGUGGCCCACUAAACAGAAGACCCUACUCUGAUCUCCCACCACGGGAUUGCAGGCAAUUCUGCAGGGCUCAACCACUGGGAAUCUGACUGUGAGGGAGAAGGGGGAGGGGCUUGAAACAACCAGCAGACUUGGCAGACUUAUUUUGUAUCUACAGUGCUCAAGUAGGAAUCCCAAUCAGAAGCUUUGCUCAUUUGCAGAACCAAGUUGCGUGUACACUCUGACCAGGGAACUUAGUGGGGUGCAGAUCUGCCUGGUUUGGAUCCUCAAAUGAGGAGUUUUGCUGGCCCUUGGGUCCAGUUUGCUCACACCCAGACAAGGAGCUGAAUCACAGUCCUACCCAUUGUGGAGACUGCCUUCCAGUGCCAUCUGACCAGAAAGGCUGGCAUCAACUCCAGGAAGCUAUGUGGCCAAGUGACACCUGAACCAAGAGGCAGGUGGGCAGUGCUGAUCACCCCCCCAGAGCAAAGACAGUAGUGACUGUGGAAUGUUCCCAUGUUGUGCAAAAGCCAGGGGAUUAAUUCAUAGCCAAAGCUCAGGGUAGCUCCUGGCUCCUUCCAAUGUGAAAGCCAAUUUGGGAAAUUGAGAGCAGCCAGGGAAUAGCCUCACAGUGUCCUGCCUAGGCAAGGAGGCUGAGAGAUGGACUCAUGUGCUGUGGAGAGUCUCUUCUGGCCCCAUUGGACCAGAAAGGCUGGAGAUGCCUGCUAGAAGCUGUGCAGCCCAGCAGCACUUGAGCCGAGAGGCAGGAGGCAGAGCCAAUAGUUUGUAGAGCAAAGCCAGUAGCCCUGUUCAGUCAGGAAACCUGGGUGGUGGGUUGGCUUGAGUUAAGACAAAAACAAAGAGUUUUAUCAGCUUUAGAGCUGCUUCUCCCUUCUCUUGCUGUGCCCAGGCAGGGUAUCUUUAAAUCAGAGCCCUGCUCAACUCUAAAUACAGCCUUCAGCCUGUCUGAACAGAAAACCUAACCAGAGCCAUGGGAAGCUGCAAAGCCCAUUUAAUAGCCCUAUGUAUAGUGGCACUUGAACAGAGAGAACAGUUUGUGGCUUCUCCCAUCUGUAGAGCAAGACCAGUGGCCUCACCUGAUGAGGGAAUUCAGGGCACACUCAGGCCAAUUCAGGUCCCCAAACAAUGAGCCAUACAGACCCUGGGUCCUGUCCUGCUGCCCUGCCAGGGGAGGGGAACUUAUUCAUGGCCCCAUCUACUACUGAGUAUAGUACCCAGUCCCAACCAUCUAGUAAGCCUGCUCAGAGAAUCUGGGCAACUGUGAAACCCAUCCUACUGCCUCACUUGGGUAGGGAACCAUGCCAGUAGUCCUAUCUGACAGUUCUCAGCCAGUGGUGUACACACUCACACCUGUCCUCAGAGCUUGAACAGUUACCUUACCCCAAAAUAGACCAUAAUAGCAAGUCCAAUAUGCCCAAGGACAUUACAACAAUUACUAAAUAAAAUGAGGAAAACAAUACAUGAACAAAUGAGAAGUUUGAUAAAGGAAUAGCAACCAUCAAAAAAAAAAAAACCCAAAACCCAGAAAUCCUA